rnacentral:rRNA from 1 species
UACGGAGGGUGCGAGCGUUGUCCGGAAUCACUGGGCGUAAAGGGCGCGUAGGUGGCCUGUGGAAGUCUGCGGUGAAAGCCCGGCGCUCAACGCCGGGUCGGCCGUGGAUACUCUCGGGCUCGAGCUUACUAGAGGCAGAUGGAAUUCCGGGUGUAGCGGUGGAAUGCGUAGAGAUCCGGAAGAACACCGGUGGCGAAGGCGGUCUGCUGGGGUAAUGCUGACACUGAUGCGCGAAAGCGUGGGGAGCGAUCCGG